rnacentral:lncRNA from 1 species
GCACGGUGGCACAUGCUACAACUAUCUUCGCGGAAUUGUGAAGAUAUAAGUGCAACUUUUUGACAAAGGUUGAACUUUGUACAGAAAUCUUGAGGUUGUACCAAAGAUAUUUCCAAGAAGAAGAAAGGUGCAUAGUAGUCCACAAGUGUAAUGCACUGUGCAGUAUAAAUUAGGUAGUGAUUAAUUUAGUAUUUCUCGAAUUUAGGAAGAGAAUAGAAGAUAACGGAAGGAAGGAAGAACAAGAAUUCCAUAAUGUUUUAUGCUUUUACCUGGGGCUCAAAAGCUCGUAAACGGGAGCAACUUUUGUGAAGAAUCUCAAUUAUCUCAGUCUGCGUUUUAUUCUGUGAAAGGUAAUCAACUGCCUCAGUAGUAAAUUGCUCACACAAGGUGCACACGUUGUCGUUCCG